CCUAAGAAGGGAACUAUGGAGGAUGGCUCGAGGAGAUUGCUUGCAGGAGGCUGAAAGCCUGAAACAUCACUGAAGUCACGUCAAAGAAAGGAUUGUCUUAUAACUCAUGUUCUUCGUCUUCUCUCUUUCUUGUGUUAACGUUCAUUCUAAUUGGCCAAGUAAAAUGUACAUGCAAUGUGUCUGUUUCAUGGAACAACAGAGUAUGGUUUAUUAUUUUAUAACAAUAGUUGUAUUAUUCAUUGUGUUCAUAAGCAGCACGUGACACGUACAUGUAGUGUAUGCGUUAAAUAUUGUUAGAUAAUUGCUGAAGUCAUUCUUCAUUCUGUAUUGCUAUUUGCUAAUCUCAUAUCUAAUAUGUGUAGACUCUUUUGCAGUGUCCAGUUGCUACUGUGGACUUUAAUUAGUGUUUGUUUAUUAUUGGAAUGUGUAGGUUGUGGUCCUGUUCAUCUCUAUAACCAAUAAAGAAAUGUUAGUAGUGCUAUAUUUGUCCCUGAACUAGUAUACUAUCAUUAUGAACAUUUUCUGGACUAUGAUAUCAUUAUGCUUUAUAGAAAGG
rnacentral:lncRNA from 1 species